rnacentral:rRNA from 1 species
UCCGUAGGGCGCAAGCGUUGUCCGGAAUUAUUGGGCGUAAAGAGCUUGUAGGCGGUUUGUCGCGUCUGCUGUGAAAUUUCGGGGCUCAACCCCGAACUUGCAGUGGGUACGGGCAGACUAGAGUGUGGUAGGGGAGACUGGAAUUCCUGGUGUAGCGGUGAAAUGCGCAGAUAUCAGGAGGAACACCGAUGGCGAAGGCAGGUCUCUGGGCCACUACUGACGCUGAGAAGCGAAAGCAUGGGGAGCGAACAGG